GAAAAAUGGAAUCCAGGAGAGAAAUCACGAGUCAAGAUUUUCGUGGCGGUAAUUGAUGUGGGCGGUUUAAGAUAUCGAGUAAUCUUCUUGAGAAUACAUGACAGGAAAUUUGUUUGAGCUUAAAAGUUCGACGAGAUAAUCUCAUGAUCUCUGCGCAUGCGCGGAAAAAUUCGUAAACUUGGAAGGCAAAGGACAGUUCAAGCUUGUAUGAAUUAUUCCAUGGACGUGGACGCCGUGCACGAUACGCAAUUAAGCCACUCCGAUGAAUUGCAAAUACAGUCGUUAGCCGACCAUUACAUUCGAAUGCUUUCAAGAGUGGCCAGCGGAUAGAUGAGGUAGGAGGCAGAAAGGCAAGAGUCGCGAGAAACCGUCCAAGCAGCGUCGCUGUAAUCCGAGCCAUGAGCGGAAUUUCAAUCUCCUGGCAAAUGGAACAUCGUGGUCCCAUGGCGUAAAGGUCGCCAACCGCGCGUGCACGCCAUCCAGGACGGACGGCCUGAUGAUGGUCCGGGUCGGUCGUUACCCAGGCUAAGUGGACCGCCGUUACGGUGAUCAGGACAAAACAGUCAUUAUCGAGGUGAAUAACGACCACUUUGUAAAACGAUGAACAAUGCUUUUGUACUGUGACACGUCUCGUAUUUACGUACUUACAAUACGUUAUUUCAUGAUUCCUCAAUGGUUUUUUUUACAAUUUCACGUGCUGUACAAUGAUGCAAGUAUAGAAAAAUACUAUACAAUAUAAAGAAGAUUUAUACGUACGUACACAAUAGUUUCUUUUUCUCAUAGACUCAUUCUUGACUCUUUCAGACAAAAACAAUAUGACUUAUUUCAAUUCUGUCUGUUGCAAACUAUAGUCAUUUGUUAAUGAUACUUAUUAAUUAGAUAUAUGUAUGUUUAUAUCUCAAUCAAUAUAUGGAAUAUGGAAUAUCAUUUAAAUAAUUUUCAAUUAUCUACAAUAAAAAUUGCUGUAAGAGAUUUAAAACGAAGUUAAAAAUCAAUCUUCAUGAAUGUUCCUCAUUGGAUCCAAACAUUUUUUUUUCCUCUUCCCAAGCAAUUUCCAUCUACCUGCCAAACAACUUAUCCAAUCAAUAACUUGAAACGAAAUAAAUCCAAAGAGACAAGCGCCGAUACAAAAUUGACACACAUUAGAUCGUAAAA